AUGUACUCCCGUACACGCCGGUUCCUCCGCGUUGCCGGCACCCACCUGACGACUGCUCGCUAUGUUUUGUUAGCA
rnacentral:sRNA from 2 species